rnacentral:misc_RNA from 1 species
AACGCACAUUGCGCCCGCUAGUAUUCUAGCGGGCAUGCCUGUUCGAGCGUCAUUUCGACCUUUAAGCCUAGUUGCUUAGUGUUAGGAGAUCUAGGGGGCCUGCCCCCCUAGACUCCCUAAAUCUAUUGGCAGAGCCGUGAUAUACUCUGAGCGUAGUAGAAAACACCUCGCUUUUGUAGUGGUCUCGACCCUAGCCAUUAAACCCCCUAUAUUUCAAUGUUUGACCUCGGAUCAGGUAGGAAUACCCGCUGAACUUAA